rnacentral:rRNA from 1 species
CAGUCGUACCGGCGGAUAAUCAGCCUUUCGGGUGCGAUUCUGUGGGGCGUGAGGAGUUUAACCGCCUUCGUGUUUUGCAUAUUCGUGCACAUUUGGUGUACUUGUCCGUGUGGUGGGUUAACAUCAAUUUCGGUCGUCAUAAAAUGAUUGGAGGAAUGUAGCUUUGAUCUCGUAUCGAAGUGUUAUAGACUCUGGUAGAUGUGACGAUUGGGGAUUGAGGAUUGCAACGGGGUACCCCUUUGGGGGCUACCCGGUCUGAUCUCUGAAGGUUGCUCCGGUGCCGAAAGCGUGCUUACGGUCAUCGAAAGUGAUUUUCAAAAGGUUAGAAC